rnacentral:rRNA from 1 species
UGGGGAAUAUUGCACAAUGGGGGGAAACCCUGAUGCAGCGACGCCGCGUGAAGGAAGAAGUAUCUCGGUAUGUAAACUUCUAUCAGCAGGGAAGAAAGUGACGGUACCUGACUAAGAAGCCCCGGCUAACUACGUGCC